UUGUCAUCUCUAAUCUUGUAAUUCUUUAAUUAAUUGACAAAUAUUGAAAUUCUCUUCUUCUUAAUUGUGACCACCCAAUCAUUUAGAUUAUUUUCUCUUCUUUCACUCCAAUAAUCAGCUGAUAAUCUUUAAAAUAAUCUCAACGUGUUUGCUUUUUUUUGAUUGUCUUUUUUUUUGCUUGUUAAUUGUUGAUUGUUUUUUUUAAUUAUUUAUUCAUUUUGUUAAUUGUUUUCUCUAAUUGUUUGUUUUCUGCAUUUUGCUUUUAUUCUUGUUGCACUUGGACUUGUUUCUGUUUGGUUGUUGUGUUAAUCUUUUUAACGUUGUGUUGAAACCUCAUUGUAAUGGCUUCUGAUGCAAUUAGGGUUUAUCGUCAUGCCUAUUUGAAAAGUGCUGAGAUCGUUGAUACUGAAUAUAAUUUACUAAUCCAUGUACAACCUUUACACCAUUUAAUCGCCUCUCUAUGUGGCUCUCACCUUAUCUGGAAGGUGGAAACACUAUUACCCACCCUUACCCGGCAUCCGAGGAUGAGUCAGGAUCACGUUUUCCAUAUAAUCUGUUGCCUUAUGUCAACCGAAAUGAGUUACAAUCUAUUUAAACUAAAUGACAUUUGGUCUUUUCUAUUGAAAAAUUUUUUCCAAUCCUGUUGUAUUAAAUAUGAAAUUCUAGCCGAUUUCAUGACCAACCUUAUUGGCAAUGGUUUCUACAAGGAGGCCAAAAGUGAAUACAAUUCAGUUUGGGCAAAAAGGACCAUGACUUAUGUAACCGAAGACAUUUUUGAACAAAUUGCCAACUCUUGUGUGGCUCUUUGUGAUUAUAUGGUUUGUGUUGAUGAAUUAAGCUCUUCAUAUCAACCAUCACAACAAAAUUACAUGAUUUUGGAUCAAGUUGUUAACAUUUGGAAAACAAUUCUAAAAAACAAACCCGGUCCUUUAGAUUUUUUAAUUCCUCGUAUUCUUGACAUUUAUAUUCAUAAUAAUGAGAUUGAUGAAGCUCUCGAAUGUCUAAUUGCCUACAAAGAUCUUAACAGUGACAAUUUAAACGCUUAUAUUUACAUAUUCAAGUUCUUAGUAAAAUAUAAAAAAGCCGAUCCAAAAUCAGAGAAAAUUAUUGAGGAUUGUUUUCAUAAAGUUGCUCAACUUUCACCUUGUUCACCUUUAAUCAUUGAAAUGUUGGAUUACUGUAAAGUUGGUUCUCGUUAUACUUGUACUAUCCUCAUGGAAUUUGUUGAUUUCUUUCAUAACAAAGAAAAUCUUGAAGCAUGGAAAAAGUUGUGUAUUCACCUUGAAAGAUUGGACAUUUUGGAAUGGGAUACAAUCAAAGAGUCUUACAAAUCAAUUUAUUCGAGUUAUUGGCCUGAAUAUCAUUGGAAAUCACUUGAAUCUCGAGAAUCAUCUGAGUUAUUAGAAUGGAAAGAAAAAGUUUAUCAAAUGUUAGUCAGUAAACCGAAAAAUCUAAAGCAUAGAAAAAAUUCUUUCAAAGUACCAUUUCGUCAGAAGAAAAUUAAAUACGAAGAAAAAAGAUAAUUUAAAGACAAUCAAGCAUCCAAUCGACAAUCUACAAACUGUAACAGUUUAACUGUUACUUCAAGUUGGACUUACAAAACUUAUCGCUCAGGUUACCUGUUUGUUUCCCUCAUUUUAACCAUGGUAACUGAGUGACCGGGAAAUGUCAACAUAUCACCACCUUCAAAGGAGGAGGAGGAGGAAAGAGACAGAGAGAGGAGUCGAUAGACUCGGAAGUAAUACAGAGAAUAGCCAAAGAUUUGAUUACCUCUUGAUCGGUGGAUUUUGUUUCUCUCUUAUUGUUCAACCAAUUCUGGUCUCAAUCAAAGUUUUUUAGUUGAUUUAUUUUGUAAUUCGCGUGGUAAUUACUUAAUUUAAUCAAUUUCCUUUUUUUUUGUGCAUCGUUCACCAAGCGGAUUAAUCAGUUACAAAGAAUUGGUGAAACUUUCUCAAUAUUCUUAAAGUGAAACUUUUUGUUCUUGAUUUAACUUUUAAUUUUGAUUCAUUGUUUGCUACUCGGAUUUAAUCACACAAA